CUUCAUGGCAGCCCCUAUGAGUCAUCCAUUGAUACCUUUGUGGUAUAACUGAAUGUGUUUGCUCUCAUUCAGUGUCAUGGCGCCGGUAUUUAUAAUGACGGAGCGAUUGUGAGCAUGUUGCAAAAUGUGGCCGUUGGAGCGCUGCAGGAGCAGGAGGGAGAGCCGAGGGAUCCUAACACUGGAGCUCAAGGAUAAACCAUGGACUCUGCAUACAUCCUACCACACCUGGAAGUGAAACAGCCCAGGGUGGGGCAACAAGUGUUUAAUGAAUAGCCAGCAACAAUCCCACGCUUGGAGAUGGCUAAUUUUCCCAGGCCUG
rnacentral:lncRNA from 1 species